ACUCUCAUUAUUUAUUUUCUCCUCUUCUUCAUUGCAGCCACCAGCACCGUGUUCCACCACGCCAACUACGUCAUUCGGCUCAUCAUUCCCAUUUGUAAAGCUGGCAUGCUCGACCGCCCUCGCCCUGUUCGACCAAAUGUCUUAUCACUAGGUCCCUCAAUGCACAGCCAAGUCACUUACCACUUCCCUCACCGCCAUUAGGUUCUUGCCUGAAGUUGUUUUGCUCUGGAACAUUUAUAUUAUGAGUGAGUAGAGCUAGAUAAUUGAAUGGUCUGCGAGUGUUCGCAUGGCAUGGGUGAGUUUCGUCCAUGCGAGCGAAGAUGGAAGGGAGAUCGGUCCGCGAACGAGCGCUUCCACAAUGUCUCCAUCUCAAUUCAGAACGGGUUCGCGAAUGAGGAUGCUAUCUUAAUCGUUUAGAACCAAUGGUUAAAAAAACAAAGAACUUUUCAUGAUUGGCAUAUAUUAUGACAGGUUGGUAAUGUGGUUAUGACAUUGGACAAUAUGAUUGUUGUUUAAGUGCAUGUUUAGAAAGUGGUUGAAUUCAUCAAAAAAUAAAAUUUUAUUCUGUUUUUCAUACUUUUCCCAUUCUCUAUGGAUUUUCUUUUUACAGUUUUUGCUCUGGAAGGGAUUUAGGGAUGGUAGUCAAGUUCCUUAGUUGGUGAAGAAACUAUGGUAUCUCCAAGUUUAAAGUUGAUUUGAUAGUAGAUUGAACUCUUUCCAGCUUGAGCAUACCUCAGGUAUACAUCCACAAACAUCACUUCUAAAGUUCUAUUUUCAGACAAUGCAACCGAUUUGAAACAUUACAUGGGUUCCCGUCAGCUAUUUUCCUUCACUUUCCUAAUUUGCGUAUGAUGUUGCAGAGUUUAGGAUAUGACAAUUUAGCAUAUGACUAGGUCCUCCUUCAUUCUAAUGAGAGUAAUGAUUAGUAGCACAUACCGCAUUGGCACUUCAAAUAUAGACCUUUUGAA